rnacentral:rRNA from 1 species
CCAUAGCAAUGAUGUCUAGGGGUUUUGAGAGGAAGGCCCCCCACACUGGGACUGAGACACGGCCCAGACUCUUACGGGAGGCAGCAGUGAGGAAUAUUGGACAAUGGAUGGAAAUCUGAUCCAGCCAUGCCGCGUGCAGGAAGACGGCCUUAUGGGUUGUAAACUGCUUUUAUACGGGAGCAAUAAGGGUUACGAGUAAUCCGAUGAGAGUACUGUAUGAAUAAGGAUCGGCUAACUCCGUGCCAGCAGCCGCGGUAAUACGGAGGAUCCGAGCGUUAUCCGGAAUUAUUGGGUUUAAAGGGUGCGUAGGCGACCAUUUAAGUCAGCGGUGAAGUUUUGCAGCUUAACUGUAACAGUGCCGUUGAUACUGUUUGGCUAGGAUUUGGUUGUAGUGUGCGGAAUGUGUGGUGUAGCGGUGAAAUGCUUAGAUAUCACACAGAACACCGAUUGCGAAGGCAGCACACUAAGUCAUUAUUGACGCUGAGGCACGAAAGUGUGGGGAUCAAACAGGAUUAGAUACCCUGGUAGUCCACACUGUAAACGAUGAUAACUCGCUGUCGGCGAUACACAGUCGGGUGGCCAAGCGAAAGCAUUAAGUUAUCCACCUGGGGAGUACGUCCGCAAGGUUGAAACUCAAAGGAAUUGGCGGGGGCCCGCACAAGCGGAGGAACAUGUGGUUUAAUUCGAUGAUACGCGAGGAACCUUACCCGGGCUCGAACGGUGCAUGAAUAUACGAGAGAUUGUAUAGUCCUUCGGGACAUGUAUCGAGGUGCUGCAUGGUUGUCGUCAGCUCGUGCCGUGAGGUGUCGGCUUAAGUGCCAUAACGAGCGCAACCCUUGUCAUUAGUUGCCAUCAGGUCAAGCUGGGGACUUUAAUGAGACUGCCGCCGUAAGGUGUGAGGAAGGGGGGGAUGACGUCAAAUCAGCACGGCCCUUAUGUCCGGGGCGACACACGUGUUACAAUGGGAGGUACAGAGGGCAGCUAUCCGGUGACGGAAUGCUAAUCUCCAAAACCUUUCUCAGUUCGGAUUGGAGUCUGCAACUCGACUCCAUGAAGGUGGAUUCGCUAGUAAUCGCGCAUCAGCCAUGGCGCGGUGAAUACGUUCCCGGGCCUUGUACUCACCGCCCGUCAAG